rnacentral:lncRNA from 1 species
UUUUUUUUUUUUUUUUUUGAGACAGGGUUUCUCUGUAGCCCUGGCUGUCCUGGAACUCACUCUGUAGACCAGGCAGGCCUCGAACUCAGAAAUCCGCCUGCCUCUGCCUCCCGAGUGCUGGGAUUAAAGAUGUGUACCACCGAUGCGUGGCUCAAGAACAGGUUUUAUGCUGUGUGUGGGACCCACUGGCUUGUGUACCUUCUGCCUAACUGACGGGCUCCAUGGCUGACCAAGCCUGCACUUUAUGCAAACAUUGAAUUGCCCCAGCUGCCUGAGAUGAAUGGUUCUAAAGCAGGAAUGGCUUCUUAAUACAGGGUCACACAACUGAUACUUAAGGUUGGGGGCUGGAGAGAUGGCUCAGUGGUUAAGAGCACUGACUGUUCUUCCAGAGGUCCUGAGUUCAAUUCCCAGUAACCACAAGGUGGCUCACAACCAUCUGUAAUGGGAUCCGAUGACCUCUUCUGGUGUGUCUGAAGACAGCUGCAGUGUACUCAUAUACAAUAAAUAAAUGAACCUAUUAAGGUUCAAGUUGGGAGUGGUAACGUCCCCCUUUGUCAUCCAGCACUGGAGAGGUGGAGGCCUGGAGGCUUGCAAAGCUGUCACUGCCAGGUGACCUCACUACCAAGGGUGCAGAGGGAUAAGCCAAACCAAAGCAGACAAAUCCCAUGGGCUCAGGCAUUCUCACAGACACUGUGCUUGUAGUGAACCCUAGUGCAGACCUUAAAUUUUCUCCUUAAAGAGACAUUUCAGGGGUGGGGGGUGCCUAUGUUGAAGUGCUUGCAGCAGCACAGACAUGAGGCCAGGUUUGGACGUGUGACCCUGCCUGGAGCUCCCUGGCCGGCCUGUCGAGCUGAGGUUGAGGUGCCUGCGGCUCAGUGAGAGACCCUGUCUUAGAAAAACAAGGUAAGGUGAGGACUAUUUACCUGAGGGGUUAUACUGAGAAUGUAUACAUAUAUACACAUAUGCAUGUAACAACAAUUAGGGCAUGUGGAGAACAGGGGAGGGAAACUGAUAUGAUUAAAUUAUAAUGUCAAAAGGAAAAGAAAGAGGGCUGGAGAGAUGGCUCAGCAGUUAAGAGCACUGACUGCUCUCUCGAAGGUCCUGAGUCCAAAUCCCAGCAACCACGUGGUGGCUCACAACCAUCCGUAAUGGGAUCCGAUGCCCUCUUCUGGAGUGUCUAAAGAUUGCAGCAGUGUACUCAUAUAUAAAAUAAAUAAAUCGUU